rnacentral:misc_RNA from 1 species
UUUUCACUACAUACCUCUUUGGAGGUUCCUUAAUCAUUUAAGACGUUUGUAGUAACCGUAAAGACCAUCCAUAUGUAGAGGCUCACACGGAACAUGUAGAAAUCGAUAUUUUCGUACUUUCUCGGCUGUCUCUUCAAUUUUCAGUAAGUUUUAUUCAACUACAAACGAAAGUCUUUUCACUACAAACCUCUUUGGAGGUCCCUCAAUGAUUUAUGACGUUUGUAGUAAUUGUAAAGAUCCUCCAUCGGUAACUGGCUCGCACCGAAUCAGUCGAAGUCGAAGUUUUCGUACUCCCGCGGAUCUCACUUCAAUUGUCUGUAAGUUUUAUUCAACUACAAACGAAAUUUUUUUCACUACGUACCUCUUUGGAGGUUCCUUAAUCAUUUAAGACGUUUUUAGUAACCGUAAAGACCAUCCAUAUGUAGAGGCUCACACGGAACAUGUAGAAAUCGAUAUUUUCGUACUUCCUCGGCUGUCUCUUCAAUUUUCAGUAAGUUUUAUUCAACUACAAACAAAAGUCUUUUCACUACAAACCUCUUUGGAGGUCCCUCAAUGAUUUAUGACGUUUGUAGUAAUCGUAAAUACCAUCCAUCGGUAACUGGCUCGCACCGAAUCAGUCGAAGUCGAAGUUUUCGUACUCCCGCGGGUCUCACUUCA